CUCACCUCAAACCACAGCUCACACCUACACUCUUUGUUCCUAGACAGAGAAGACCGAGGUGCCUCACUAACCCUGACGACCACUAUGACGGCAACAUCUCUUCGCUGCUGCCUGGACUGGCUGCCCCUCUCCCCCACACAGACUCCCUUGGGAUUCACCACGGUCCAGGGCCUAUGGAGUUAAGUGGAAGCCAUUCACAGACCAGAGCCGUCACACACUGGUCUCAUCAAGUCCAAAUUAGCAAUUUCUGAAGCAUCCACCAGUGUGAGGAGCACCGUGCCAAAGGGCUGUCCAUCUAUCUGACAGGCCCGGGUCACAUAGAGGAUGGAAAAAGAUGGAGGGAAAGGAUACUGGCAGGUUCUAAGCAAGUAAUGGGUAUGCGUACGAAGAGCAGAGGCAAUGGAGAAAGAAAUAGUGGUGCUCUAUAUCGGAGAUAAGACCGGGGAGACGCUGGCCAGAACCGAUGGCCACUGGCUCGCCUGGUUAGUCUGUGAAAUAUGACUGCAAUGGUUCACCUGCAGCCUCUGUCAAUACCCCUGCUGUCAUGUAUGUCCAUGGGAUGGCCCCAUUUAAAUGCAUGAGAGCACCUCUUGCAGCCAGCAUAAAGAAGAUUAAAGGAGACUGCAGUUUCAUUUUUUUUUAUUUUUCAGACAUUCAGUCUAAGCAACAUAAGCUCAGCAGCCCAGGGAGAAAAAGGGAGAUGGUAAAUUGUUGCUUUCAUUAAAACUUCAAGGAGUCAGUUUCAUUAUGAAGGUUCAAAGGCAAUGGAAAAUGUGUGUGGCUGCAUUCUCCCACUCUCUCUCUGUCUCACUUUCCCCUGCUUCAUCCAACUGGAUGGCUACAUGGAAUAAUGGGCAAUGUGACGACUACAUGUAAUCUUGUCCCUGGAGGGCUGGCGUAUAUGGAUGUGACUGGUCUGCUGUCAUGCUCACGGCAAGCAUAAUGAGGCAAGACAGAGCUUACUGCUGGCCUUCACACAAGCCAGUGCUUCUGCAGGGUUUACUGUGGGCUUUGCUUUUCAAGUGCUCGAGUCCUGGACUUCGAUUUCCUCCUAAUAUCCUGAAUGUUUACAGGCUAAAAAAGGGUAAUGUGUGUGUUUUCAGAGAUGGGUAAAUCAACUGUGUAGUAAUGCAUUUAAAGCUGCACUGAUCAAUAUUUUUAUAUUAACAAUGAUUCCGUUGACUAAGUGUAAUGUGAAAGGUGU